ACUUAAGAGAAAGCAGGUUAAGUGCGUAAAGUGGAGUUGAGAGUCUUUAUAAUUUGCAAACCAAUACGCACAUUCAUUCAUUUUCGUUUUCAUACAGAUCUAUAGCAAUAGUCCUUGAGUUCUUUCAUUUUCAUGGCAGAAAACCUCGUUCACGGAUGCUAGCAAUGGUGUCAAAGAGAGUUUGUUCAUAAGGUAUGAAUCCUCCUAUUAGCUCUGUAGUUUUCUUGUUCCCAAUCUUCUCGGGGGGGAUUCCAUCGUAUCUUCCGGCAUGAGGAAUUCCAAUGCUCGUUUCAGAAACACCCCUACCCAUACAAAUCUCAUUACGCUUUGAACAAAACUGAACAAAAAGGAAUGAAAGUAAACUCACUCGUGGGCACAGCAGCGAAGCUCGGGGAACUUUUCCUUGACCGAUUUCAGGACGUCUCUGUGGGAAACGCUCAGUGCAACGCAAAAGUAGCGCCCCAAAGCAGCCUCGUUCUCGACUGCCAAAAUGUGAGCUUUUGCAACAUCUCUCACGUCCACGAGAGGAAUGUAAGAACUUGGCGAAGGAUUCCGGGAACCUAGAUUAUCACAAACAAGAUAAAUGUCUGUACGAGAAAACCAAGGAAACAACAGUCAAACCUUCUACAACUUCCUUGAGAUAUUCGCUGCUAGUGUUGAGGGUUUGUUGCAAGAGAGGACCAAACACGUAAACCGGGCACACCACGAGAAGUUUGAGCCCUUUCUCUUCGGCAAACUUCCAUGCCGUCUUCUCCGCCUCGGUCUUGGCAACCAAGUACCACCGCUGCAAAACGAAGUCCAACGCACAAGAGUCAAGAGUCAAAUUAAGUCCAAAGCAAGUCCCAUUUAGUUGCCUCGUUUUUGCGGCAGUGGUCAACGUUCGUCCAGCAGCGCUCAUCAACCACCUUGUCCUCGGGACGAUCGGGGUCAAACAUGACCGCUGCGCCGGAGGAAGUCAUCACCACUCGCUUGAUCUUCUCCUCGCUGCAAGCACGCAUCACAUUCUCCGUUCCAGUGAUUGCUGGGACCAACACAUCCUGGCAGAAAACAAAACUCGAAAUUUCUCAUCGCCCACGAGCAAAACCAGCUAGAUUCUUACAUCUGGGGUGUCAAACUUCCAGAAGAAGGGGCAGGCUGUGUGGAAGACGGCCUCACAGCCCCGGACUGCUGGGACAAUGGAAUCGUAGUCGAGAACAUCGGCUUUGAACAGCUUGAGCCUCUCCCCAGCUCCUGGGAGCUGCUUGAGAUGUCCACACUUCGCAUUGUUACCUGAUGAUUGGGUCAUUCAGAUUUCGGCUAUGGAUCAAAGGUAAAAGGGAGAAGUCUAUGCUUACUUGGGUCGCGCACGGUGCCGUGAACAGUAUAGCCUUUCUCCAGAAGCUGCUUUACAAUCCAAGAGGCAAUGAAACCCCCGGCUCCAGUCACACACACGACCUUCUUGCUUUCUUCCAUUGCCAUGCUCUUUGCUCUAUUUGCUACUUAUUUGCUCUAGCUUGCGCUGCUGUGUAUUUAUACACUCUAUCAAGUCUUCAAGAAUUUCCGCUUGCCUUCUGAGGAAGCAUCCUGGAGCGCUGUGGCGUCGCAACUGGAGCACUAUGGCGCCGGUCUCUAGGCUACUGUUUAACUUAAUUGAUUUUCUAUAGAUAGAUGGGGACGCUAUUAAGCGUGCUAUUUACCUAUUUAUUGUGGCUAAGUCAGAUGUCUGCAUCAUGUUGGUGGAGUUUUUGUAAAGUAGCAAUAGGCUCUUGCACCUUUUGCAGCUACUAUACUAAUUUCAGGUUAGAAUGGCGCUUUGAAGUUGCUGGUGGUGCGACGGUAGCAGCAAGGGAGGGUUCAAUUUUCAACCUUCUCUUGUAUUUUUACAUCCUCCGAAGACUAACACGUCGCACUCCACUAGGGCAUCCAACUCACUUGGACAAUUCCAUAACAAGAGCAAAAUAUAAGAGCUGCGUUCUCUUUGAGGAAGCAAGAACUUAAGAGAGAGAAGGUUAAGUGCGUUGACUUCACUCCUAAAGUGGAGUUGAGAGUCUUUAUCUUUUGCAAACCAAUAUGCACAUUCAUUCAUUUUCGUUUUCAUACAGAUCUAUAGCAAUAGUCCUUGAGUUCUUUCAUUUUCAUGGCAGAAAACCUCGUUCACGGAUGCUAGCAAUGGUGUCAAAGAGAGUUUGUUCAUAAGGUAUGAAUCCUCCAAUUAGCUCUGUAGUUUUCUUGUUUCCAAUCUUCUCGGGGGGGAUUCCAUCGUAUCUUCCGGCAUGAGGAAUUCCAACGCUCGUUUCAGGAACACCCCUACCCAUACAAAUCUCAUUACGCUUUGAACAAAACUGAACAAAAAGGAAUGAAAGUAAACUCACUCAUGGGCACAGCAGCGAAGCUGGGGGAACUUUUCCUUGACCGAUUUCAGGACGUCUCUGUGGGAAAUGCUCAGUGCAACGCAAAAGUAGCGCCCCAAAGCAGCCUCGUUAUCGACUGCCAAAAUGUGAGCUUUUGCAACAUCUCUCACGUCCACGAGAGGAAUGUAAGAAGUUGGCGAAAGAUUCCGGGAACCUGGAUCAUCACAAACGAGAUAAAUGUUUGUACGAGAAAACCAACGAAACCACAGUCAGACCUUCUACAACUUCCUUGAGAUAUUCACUGCUAGUGUUGAGGGUUUGUUGCAAGAGAGGACCAAACACGUAAACAGGGCACACCACAAGAAGUUUGAGCCCUUUCUCUUCGGCAAACUUCCAUGCCGUCUUCUCCGACUCCGUCUUGGCAACCAAGUACCACCGCUGCAAACCGAAGUACGAGUCAAGAGUCGAAUUAAGUCAAAAGCAAGUCCCAUUUACUUGCCUCGAUUUUGCGGCAGUGGUCCAGCAACUCUCAUCAACCACCUUGUCCUCGGGACGAUCCGGGUCAACCAUGACUGCUGCGCCGGAGGAGGUCAUCACCACUCGCUUGAUCUUCUCCUCGCUGCAAGCACGCAUCACAUUCUCCGUUCCAGUGAUUGCUGGGACCAACACAUCCUGGCAGAAAAAAAAACUCAGAAAAUUUCUCAUUGCCCACGAGCAAAACCAGCUAGAUUCUUACAUCUGGGGUGUCAAACUUCCAGAAGAAGGGGCAGGCUGUGUGGAAGACGGCCUCACAGCCCCGGACUGCCGGGACAAUGGAAUCGUAGUCGAGAACAUCGGCUUUGAACAGCUUGAGCCUCUCCCCAGCUCCUGGGAGCUGCUUGAGAUGUCCACACUUCGCAUUGUUACCUGAUGAUUGGGUCAUUCAGAUUUCGGCUAUGGAUAAGGGAGAAGUCUAUGCUUACUUGGGUCACGCACGGUGCCGUGAACAGUAUAGCCUUUCUCCAGAAGCUGCUUUACAAUCCAAGAGGCAAUGAAACCCCCAGCUCCAAUCACACACACGACCUUCUUGCUUGCUUUCAUUGCCAUGCUCUUUGCUCUAUUUUGCUACUUAUUAGUUUAUUUUGCACAACACAAGGUUUCUUGCACUUUUCACUAUACCCACUUCUUGUGAUUGAUGCUGGUGAUUCUCAUGUUUAAGGACAAGAGUGAGAAUAUAGUUAUGGCUAUGAUAUUUGUUAUUAAGCAUGUGAUAAAGUUGGCCAUAUGUAUCAACAUUGUUAACAUUUUUCAGAUUAGUGUCUUCCAUUUCGUAAGUGAAAGCUUUAGCAUUAACAAAAUUUUGUUGGUGUUAUUAUAAUUGAAGGUUUUGACAUAGAAAUUCUUUAGGGAAAUGAAGAGUCACACAAGUAAUGAAGAGUCUUUAUGUGAAUAAGUAACCCUUUCAUCCUUCUUUUGAGAGUAUUAUUAAGGAAUUCAUCAAGUAUUUAGUUUCCAAAUUUGUUUUUAUAAUAAAAGGUAUUUUAUUAUUCUCUUGAUAAAGGUUUGAAUUUAUCUUUUAUUGUUCAGCUUAUUGCCAUAUAUUGAUGUCUAUAGUUGUGUCAUGUAAUAGAACCAAUUUUCAUUUUUUAUGGCAACAAUUAUAUAUAUACAUGUGUAUGGGAUGAGAUAAACCUAGCUAUACAUGUGGCAAAUUUUGAGCUUGAACUUUAAUUAUUGCAGGUGGUGUUGAGUCAAGUUUUUGAUUUUAUUAUUGAUAUAGUGUCGCAAAUGUGACUUUGAGUAUCGAAAGUUAUAUGUCGGCCAGUCCUUACGGACAUUCUUUACUUACUGUCACAACGGCAGGAAGUCAGUAUUGCUGGACCUAUUAUUAGUCUCCACCUAAGUUAGUUGAGAAACUGAUCAUCACAUAUGCACUUAGACUAAAAGGGUACUAAAGAAGGAAAUCCUACGUUGUCAAUUAGUCAAGCAUACUUGGCAUGGUGAUGAGAAACUCAUAUUGUUGACUUGCACUUGCUAGUGUUGGGAACCCCGUAAUAUUGAGUUUGGUCUCUUAAUAUCACUAAAUGAUAGCUUACUGUGUCUGCAAAACACCCUCGCUAUCAUGCUCUUUGUGUUAGUUUCAAUUCGAUCCCAAAUGUUAAUUAUAAAAAGUGUCUAGAUUUGCUCAUUUGGCAUAUCUACGGAAUGUAGAAAUUGGCUUGAACACAAUGGUGUUUGUUCCGUGUCCAAAUUCACAAUUUAGCGCCAUUUCAUAUUUAGUAAGUUUUAAGCUUGUCCCAGAGACUAACUCCUGAUGCUAAAGGAGGCUUGGGGUGAAAGCCUAAAGCAUGUGUUUCUGAAAGGGGGGGGGGGGGGGGGUUCCAAAUGUAUAGUAGGGAUAGUGGGUAGGUUGGGCAUGGCUGACCAACCUGAGGCAUAGUUUAGCUCUCGCUUGUAUGCUUGUCCUUGUUCUGCAUCUGGCUUGGGUCUAAGCCCAAGUUCCAUUCCAUGUUAGCUGGUGAAGUACUUAUAUCUUUACAUUAGGCCACCGGUAUGCUGAAAUAGCACUAGACCCUAUUUGGCUCCGUUUUGCAUGUUGGUCUUGGCAUUGGGAUGUUAAUUGCUUUAGGACUGUUCCAAGUCACUCCGGGCUCCUGUCCCUUCGCUCCUUGGGUUAUAUGCUUAAGAAUUGCUCCAUGGUCCAGUUCCGACACUCCUUGGCUCUAUGCUUGGGAGUUUGGCACCAUUCCUUUGUUUAGUGGCCCAAGGCCCUGAACCUUAGGUUCCACACCACAAUCCUAUGGACAUGUGGUAUAUAACAUGUGGCAUAUAGAGGGUUUAGGUUCCACUUCGUGGUGUUAUUCUAUGGUAAAUUACCAUAGGAUAAAGGGUAAAAACCACGUGCGCUACAUAUAGAUUGAUUAUAACAUAAUUAUGAUAAGUGUGACUUUGAGGCUUCUUCCCUUUAUUUUAUAUUUCCUCACAUUUCUUCCAUUCUUCUCACUUUUGUUCUCUUUUGUCUCUUUGCUUCUAUCAUUUUUGCUUCUUUAUUAUUUUCUAUUGUAUUUCAAUUUUGCUUUUAUAUUUCCUUUAUAGAUCCUUCUGAUGUUGCAAUAAUGGACCAACUCAAGAAUGAGUAUGUUGAUCUUUUUUAUUUUGACUUGUUGUUUGGGGCUUGCAACACAUCAUCUUGCUCAUCCAAUUAAAAUUAUUAUUUAGCAUCAGUCAUUAAAGGAAAUCAAGAUUUUACACAUAAAUAUCAAAAAGAUGUUAAAAAUAGGUGUUAUCCAAAAUUUUUAAAGUCCUUAAACAUAUGAAUGUCAUCUUAUGAUGGGAGUGUUCACUUUUGUAUUGACUAAAUUCAAUGCUAACUCUAUGGUUAAACUCAUAAAUUAUAAGGCUUUUUUCUUCAUCCCAUAUCAAAGUUAGAGGUUGAAAUUACUAGAGCAAGAACUUUGGGUUCUAUAUAUAUAUGAUGUAAUAUAUAUCACCAACAUAUAAUAAUCAAAUAACAAUAAUACAAUAAUAAAUCAUUGGUUUACCAUUGAGAUAAAAAAAAUUGUAGUUAUAUAUGUCAAUGUCAAAAUACAAUAUGGUAGUAGAAAAAAUAAAGAAUUGUCAGAAUUGUGCUUUUAAAGAACUCCCCUACACAUCAAAAUUUCGUAAAUGCUUUUAAAAAAACCAAUGAAAUGCAAAACUCACUCUUGGGCACAGCUGCGAAGCCCGGGGAGCUUUUCCUUGACCGAUUUCAGGACGUCUCUGUGGGAACCCUAAAGCAGUCUCGUUCUCAACUACCAAUAUGUGAACUUUUGCAACAUCUUUCACGUCCACGAAAGGAAUGUAAGCACUUAGCAAAGGAUUCCGGGAACCUGGAUCACCACAAACAAAACAUUGUGUUUGUAUGAGAAAACCAAAGAAACUAACCUUCCACAACUUGAGAUAUUCGUUGCUAGUGUUCAUGGUCUGUUGCAAGAGAGGGCCCAAGACAUCACAUGGGCACACCACGACAGGUUUGAGACCAUGCUAUUUUCUCAGACUCCAGUGCCACCGCUGCAAAACAAUGUCAACUCAAAAGACUCAAACUAAAGUCGAAAUCCAUUGCCUUGCCCUCGGUAGUAGUCAAUGCUAGCUCUCGUCAACCAUCUUGUCCACCGGACGAUCCGAGUCACACAUGACCGCGGUGCCGGAGGAGGUCAUCACCACUCGCUUGAUCUUGCAGUGAGGAUCCUCACUGCAACCACGCAUCACAUCCUCCGUUCCAGUGAUUCCUGGGACCAACACAUCCUGGCAGAAAAGAAAACCCAGAUAAUUUCUCAUGAGAUAAAACCAGCAAGAUUCUCACAUCUGCAGUGUCAAAAUUCCAGAAGAAGGGGCAGGCUGCGUGAAAGACGGCAUCACUGCCCCGGACUGCCAGGUUGUAGUCGAGAACAUCGGCUUUCAACAGCUUGAGCCUCUCGCCAGCUCCUGGGAGCUGCUUGAGAUGUCCACACUUGGCAUUGUUACCUGACGAUACACAUGCAUGAGUCAUUCAGGUGGAGGUGGUGGAUCCAAUACUACUUACUUGGAUUGCACACGGUGCCGUGAAUCGUGUAGCUUCUCGAGAAGAUGCUAUACAAUCCCAGAGGCAAUGAAACCCCCGGCUCCAGUCACACACAUGAUUCUUGCUUGCUUCCAUUGCCAUGCUCUUUGCUUUAAUUUGCUACUUAUUUGCUCUAGCUUGCGCUGCUGUGUAUUUAUACACUCUAUCAAGUCUUCAAGAAUUUCCACUUGCCUUCUGAGCAAGCAUCCUGGAGCACUGUGGCGUCGCAACUGGAGCACUGUGGCACCGGUCUCGUUCAAUUUAUUUAUUGGUAGAAUUUAAUGUUUUAUAGAUAGAUGGGGAGCCGGUCUCUAAGAUUGCUAUUUAACUUAUUUAUUGUGGCUGAAUCAGAUGUGUGCAUCAUGUUGGGCAGUGGUGGUGGAGUUUUUGCAAAGCAGCAAUAUGCUCUUGCACCUUUUACUUCUACAAUACUAAUUUUAGGUGAGAAUGCAGUGUUUAUGAAAUGCAAAAUGCGCUUUGAAGUUGCUGGUGGUACACGGAGGCGACAGUAGCAGCAAGAGAGGGUUCAAUUUUCAAUCUUCUCUUGCAUUUUUCCUCCAAAGACUAUCAAGCUCGGAACACGUCGCACUCCACUAGGGCAUCCAACUCGCCAUCGCCAUCCCUCUUAGAACCCUGGACAAUUCCAUAACAACAGCAAAAUAUAAGAGCUGCGUUCUCUUUUGAGUAAGCAAGAACUUAACAGAAAGCAGGUUAAGUGCGUAAAGUGGAGUUGAGAGUCAUUAUAAUUUGCAAAGCAAUACGCACAUUCAUUCGUUUUCGUGUUCAUACAGAUCUAUAGCAAUAGUUCCUGAGUUCUUUCAUUUUCAUGGCAGAAAACCUCGUUCACGGAUGCUAGCAAUGGUGUCAAAGAGAGUUUGUUCAUAAGGUAUGAAUCCUCCAAUUAGCUCUGUAGUUUUCUUGUUCCCAAUCUUCUCGGGGGGGAUUCCAUCGUAUCUUCCGGCAUGAGGAAUUCCAACGCUCGUUUCAGGAACACCCCUACCCAUACAAAUCUCAUUACGCUUUGAACAAAACUGAACAAAAAGGAAUGAAAGUAAACUCACUCGUGGGCACAGCAGCGAAGCUGGGGGAACUUUUCCUUGACCGAUUUCAGGACGUCUCUGUGGGAAACGCUCAGUGCAACGCAAAAGUAGCGCCCCAAAGCAGCCUCGUUCUCGACUGCCAAAAUGUGAGCUUUUGCAACAUCUCUCACGUCCAUGAGAGAAAUGUAAGAAUUUGGCGAAGGAUUCCGGGAACCUGGAUUAUCACAAACAAGAUAAAUGUCUGUACGAGAAAACCAAGGAAACAACAGUCAAACCUUCUACAACUUCCUUGAGAUAUUCGCUGCUAGUGUU
rnacentral:lncRNA from 1 species